rnacentral:rRNA from 1 species
AGUGAACGCUGGCGGCAGGCCUAACACAUGCAAGUCGAACGGCAGCACAAGAGAGCUUGCUCUCUGGGUGGCGAGUGGCGGGCGGGUGAGGAAUGCAUCGGAAUCUGCCCAUUUGUGGGGGAUAACCUCGGGAAACCGGGACAAUACCGCAUACGACCUACGGGUGAAAGCAGGGGAUCUUCGGACCUUGCGCAGAUGGAUGAGCCGAUGCCGGAUUAGCUAGUUGGAGGGGUAAAGGCCCACCAAGGCGACGAUCCGUAGCUGGUCUGAGAGGAUGAUCAGCCACACUGGGACUGAGACACGGCCCAGACUCCUACGGGAGGCAGCAGUGGGGAAUAUUGGACAAUGGGCGCAAGCCUGAUCCAGCCAUGCCGCGUGUGUGAAGAAGGCCUUCGGGUUGUAAAGCACUUUUGUUGGGAAAGAAAAGCAGCCGGUUAAUACCCGGUUGUCGUGACGGUACCCAAAGAAUAAGCACCGGCUAACUUCGUG